ensembl:lncRNA
CAGCUUCUACCCGCAAACCACAAGACUGAUGAACAAUUAACCACCUGGACUAUUUACAUUGACCCUGUCCCCCUGGUUUUAACACAGCUGCUACUCACUGUUUAUUAUCUAUGCAUAAUCACUUUACCCUACCUGCAUGUACAAACCUCAACUAACCUGUACCGCACACUGACUCAGUACCGGUACACCCUGUAUCUAGCCUCCACACUGACUCAGUACCGGUACACCCUGUAUCUAGCCUCCACACUGACUCAGUACCGUAAUACCCUGUAUCUAGCCUCCACACUGACUCAGUACCGUAAUACCCUGUAUAUAGCCUCCACACCGACUCAGUACCGGUACACCCUGUAUCUAGCCUCCACACUGACUCAGUACCGGUACACCCUGUAUCUAGCCUCCACACUGACUCAGUACCGUUACACCCUGUAUCUAGGCUCCACACUGACUCAGUACCGGUACACCCUGUAUCUAGCCUCCACACUGACUCAGUACCGGUACACCCUGUAUAUAGCCUCCACUUUGACUCUGUACCGUAAUACCCAGUAUAUAGCCUCCACACUGACUCAGUACCGGUACCCCCUGUAUAUAUCCUCCACAUUGACUCUGUACCGUAAUACCCUGUAUAUAGCCUCCACAUUGACUCUGUACCGUAAUACCCUGUAUAUAGCCUCCACAUUGACUCUGUACCGUAAUACCCUGUAUAUAGCCUCCACAUUGACUCUGUACCGGUACCCCCUGUAUAUAGCCUCCACAUUGACUCUGUACCAGUACCCCCUGUAUAUAGCCUCCACAUUGACUCUGUACCGUAAUACCCUGUAUAUAGCCUCUACAUUGACUCUGUACCGUAAUACCCUGUAUAUAGUCUCCACAUUGACUCUGUACCGUAAUACCCUGUAUAUAGCCUCCACAUUGACUCUGUACCGUAAUACCCUGUAUAUAGUCUCCACAUUGACUCUGUACCGUAACCCCCUGUAUAUAGCCUCCACAUUGACUCUGUACCGUAAUACCCUGUAUAUAGCCUCCACAUUGACUCUGUACCGUAAUACCCUGUAUAUAGCCUCCACAUUGACUCUGUACCGUAACACCCUGUAUAUAGCCUCCACAUUGACUCUGUACCGUAAUACCCUGUAUAUAGCCUCCACAUUGACUCUGUACCGUAAUACCCUGUAUAUAGCCUCCACAUUGACUCUGUACCGUAACACCCUGUAUAUAGCCUCCACAUUGACUCUGUACCGUAAUACCCUGUAUAUAGCCUCCACAUUGACUCUGUACCGUAAUACCCUGUAUAUAGCCUCCACAUUGACUCUGUACCGUAAUACCCUGUAUAUAGCCUCCACAUUGACUCUGUACCGUAAUACCCUGUAUAUAGCCUCCACAUUGACUCUGUACCGUAAUACCCUGUAUAUAGCCUCCACAUUGACUCUGUACCGUAAUAUUCUGUAUAUAACCUCCACAUUGACUCUGUACCGUAACCCCCUGUAUAUAGCCUCCACAUUGACUCUGUACCGUAAUACCCUGCAUAUAGCCUCCACAUUGACUCUGUACCGUAAUACCCUGUAUAUAGCCUCCACAUUGACUCUGUACCGUAACACCCUGUAUAUAGCCUCCACAUUGACUCUGUACCGUAAUACCCUGUAUAUAGUCUCCACAUUGACUCUGUACCAGUACCCCCUGUAUAUAGCCUCCACAUUGACUCUGUACCAGUACCCCCUGAAUAUAACCUCCACAUUGACUCUGUACCGUAAUACCCUGUAUAUAGCCUCCAUAUUGACUCUGUACCGUAAUACCCUGUAUAUAGCCUCCACAUUGACUCUGUACCGUAACACCCUGUAUAUAGCCUCCACAUUGACUCUGUACCGUAACACCCUGUAUAUAGCCUCCACAUUGACUCUGUACCGUAAUACCCUGUAUAUAGCCUCCACAUUGACUCUGUACCGUAAUACCCUGUAUAUAGCCUCCACAUUGACUCUGUACCGUAAUACCCUGUAUAUAGCCUCCACAUUGACUCUGUACCGUAACACCCUGUAUAUAGCCUCCACAUUGACUCUGUACCGUAAUACCCUGUAUAUAGCCUCCACAUUGACUCUGUACCGUAAUACCCUGUAUAUAGCCUCCACAUUGACUCUGUACCGUAAUACCCUGUAUAUAGCCUCCACAUUGACUCUGUACCGUAAUACCCUGUAUAUAGCCUCCACAUUGACUCUGUACCGUAAUAUUCUGUAUAUAACCUCCACAUUGACUCUGUACCGUAACCCCCUGUAUAUAGCCUCCACAUUGACUCUGUACCGUAAUACCCUGCAUAUAGCCUCCACAUUGACUCUGUACCGUAAUACCCUGUAUAUAGCAUCCACAUUGACUCUGUACCGUAACACCCUGUAUAUAGCCUCCACAUUGACUCUGUACCGUAAUACCCUGUAUAUAGUCUCCACAUUGACUCUGUACCAGUACCCCCUGUAUAUAGCCUCCACAUUGACUCUGUACCAGUACCCCCUGAAUAUAACCUCCACAUUGACUCUGUACCGUAAUACCCUGUAUAUAGCCUCCAUAUUGACUCUGUACCGGUACACCCUGUAUAUAGCCUCCACAUUGACUCUGUACCGUAAUACCCUGUAUAUAGCCUCCACAUUGACUCUGUACCGUAACACCCUGUAUAUAGCCUCCACAUUGACUCUGUACCGUAACACCCUGUAUAUAGCCUCCACAUUGACUCUGUACCGUAACACCCUGUAUAUAGCCUCCACAUUGACUCUGUACCGUAACACCCUGUAUAUAGCCUCCACAUUGACUCUGUACCGUAACACCCUGUAUAUAGCCUCCACAUUGACUCUGUACCGUAAUACCCUGUAUAUAGUCUCCACAUUGACUCUGUACCAGUACCCCCUGUAUAUAGCCUCCACAUUGACUCUGUACCAGUACCCCCUGAAUAUAACCUCCACAUUGACUCUGUACCGUAAUACCCUGUAUAUAGCCUUCAUAUUGACUCUGUACCGGUACACCCUGUAUAUAGCCUCCACAUUGACUCUGUACCGUAAUACCCUGUAUAUAGCCUCCACAUUGACUCUGUACCGUAACACCCUGUAUAUAGCCUCCACAUUGACUCUGUACCGUAACACCCUGUAUAUAGCCUCCACAUUGACUCUGUACCGUAACACCCUGUAUAUAGCCUCCACAUUGACUCUGUACCGUAACACCCUGUAUAUAGCCUCCACAUUGACUCUGUACCGUAACACCCUGUAUAUAGCCUCCACAUUGACUCUGUACCGUAACACCCUGUAUAUAGCCUCCACAUUGACUCUGUACCGGUACCCCCUGUAUAUAGCCUCCACAUUGACUCUGUACCGUAAUACCCUGUAUAUAGCCUCCACAUUGACUCUGUACCGUAACACCCUGUAUAUAGCCUCCACAUUGACUCUGUACCGGUACCCCCUGUAUAUAGCCUCCACAUUGACUCUGUACCGUAAUACCCUGUAUAUAGCCUCGUUAUUGUUAUGUUACUUUUUAUUAUUAUUUUUUAAAUUUCUUGAGUUUAUUUGUUAA